rnacentral:rRNA from 1 species
GAUGAACGCUGGCGGCGUGCCUAAUACAUGCAAGUCGAGCGAAUGGAUUGAGAGCUUGCUCUUAUGAAGUUAGCGGCGGACGGGUGAGUAACACGUGGGUAACCUGCCCAUAAGACUGGGAUAACUCCGGGAAACCGGGGCGAAUACCGGAUAACAUUUUGAACCGCAUGGUUCGAAAUUGAAAGGCGGCUUCGGCUGUCACUUAUGGAUUGACCCGCGUCGCAUUAGCUAGUUGGUGAGGUAACGGCUCACCAGGGCAACGAUGCGUAGCCGACCUGAGAGGGUGAUCGGCCACACUGGGACUGAGACACGGCCCAGACUCCUACGGGAGGCAGCAGUAGGGAAUCUUCCGCAAUGGACGAAAGUCUGACGGAGCAACGCCGCGUGAGUGAUGAAGGCUUUCGGGUCAUAAAACUCUGUUGUUAGGGAAGAACAAGUGCUAGUUGAAUAAGCUGGCACCUUGACGGUACCUAACCAGAAAGCCACGGCUAACUACGUGCCAGCCGCCGCUGUAA